rnacentral:rRNA from 1 species
GGACGAACGCUGGCGGCGUGCCUAAUACAUGCAAGUUGAGCGAUGAAGAUUGGUGCUUGCACCAAUUUGAAGAGCAGCGAACGGGUGAGUAACGCGUGGGGAAUCUGCCUUUGAGCGGGGGACAACAUUUGGAAACGAAUGCUAAUACCGCAUAACAACUUUAAACAUAAGUUUUAAGUUUGAAAGAUGCAAUUGCAUCACUCAAAGAUGAUCCCGCGUUGUAUUAGCUAGUUGGUGAGGUAAAAGCUCACCAAGGCGAUGAUACAUAGCCGACCUGAGAGGGUGAUCGGCCACAUUGGGACUGAGACACGGCCCAAACUCCUACGGGAGGCAGCAGUAGGGAAUCUUCGGCAAUGGACGAAAGUCUGACCGAGCAACGCCGCGUGAGUGAAGAAGGGUUUCGGAUCGUAAAACUCUGUUGGUAGAGAAGAACGUUGGUGAGAGUGGAAAGCUCAUCAAGUGACGGUAACUACCCAGAAAGGGACGGCUAACUACGUG